AUUGAACGCUGGCGGCAGGCCUAACACAUGCAAGUCGAGCGGAGCGGCGGACGGGUGAGUAAUGACUAGGAAUCUGCCUGGUAGUGGGGGAUAACGUACGGAAACGGGAGCUAAUAUAGCCUACUAUCAGAUGAGCCUAGGUCUGAUUAGAUAGUUGGUGGGGUAAAGGGCUACCAAUGCGACGAUCCGUAACUGGUCUGAGAUGAUGAUCAGUCAGCCUGGAACUGAGACAGGGUCCAGACUCCUCAGGGAGGCAGCAGUGGGAAAUAUUGGACAAUGGGCGAAAGCCUGAUCCCGCCAUGCCGCGUGUGUGAAGAAGGUCUUCGGAUUGUAAAGCACUUUAAGUUGGGAGGCGUUACCAACAGAAUAAGCACCGGCUAACUUCGUGCCAGCCGCCGCGGUAAUAC
rnacentral:rRNA from 1 species